rnacentral:rRNA from 1 species
GACGAACGCUGGCGGCGUGCCUAAUACAUGCAAGUAGAACGCAGUUGCGAACGGGUGAGUAAAGCGUAGGUGACUGCCUCAAAGCGGGGGAUAAAUAUUGGAAAAGAUAGGUAAUACCGCAAACUGUGAGAUGGACGGGCGUGGCAUUAGCUAGUGGGUGAGGUAAAGGCCCACCAAGGCGACGAUACAUAGCCGAGCUGAGAGGGUGAUCUGCCACACUGGGACUGGGAACCGGCCCAGACUUCUACGGGAGGCAGCAGUAGGGAAUCUUCGGCAAUGGACGGAAGUCUUACCGAGGAACGCCGCGUGAGUGAAGAAGGUUUUCGGAUCGUAAAGCUCUGUUGUUAGGGAAGCGGUACCUAACCAGAAAGGGACGGCUAACUACGUGCCAGCAGCCGCGGUAAUAC